rnacentral:rRNA from 1 species
AGGACGAACGCUGGCGGCGUGCUUAACACAUGCAAGUGGAGCGACGAACCAGGGCUUGCCCUGGGGCAGAGCCGCGAACGGGUGGGUAACACGUGGGUAACGUGCCCCGAUGACUGGGACAACCCGAGGAAACUCGGGCUAAUACCGGAUGAUGUACACGAACGAGAGUUCAUGUACUAAAGGAAGCUUCGGCCUCGCAUUGGGAGCGGCCCGCGGCCCAUUAGCUUGUUGGUGAGGUAACGGCUCACCAAGGCAACGAUGGGUAGCUGGUCUGAGAGGACGAUCAGCCACACUGGGACUGAGACACGGCCCAGACUCCUACGGGAGCAGCAGUGGGAAUCUUGCGCAAGUGCGCGAAAGCGUGACGCAGCAACGCCGCGUGGAGGGAAGACGG